rnacentral:rRNA from 1 species
GGCAACGAUGAAACUCAAAGGAUUGAAGGGGUCCGCACAAGCGGUGGAGCAUGUGGUUAAUUGAUAAUACGCGAGGAACCUUACCUAGGCUCUAAUGUGAUCGCAAUCUGCUGAAAGGCGGAGUUCCUUCGGGACGAGAAACAAGGUGCUGCAUGGUUGUCGUCAGCUCGUGCCGUGAGGUGUUGGGUUAAGUCCCGCAAAGAGCGCAACCCCUAUUGCUAGUAGCCAGCAAGUUAUGUUGGGGACUCUAGCAAGACUGCCGGCGCAAGCCGCGAGGAAGGUGGGGAUGACGUAGAAUCAUCAUGGCCUUUAUGCCUAGGGCUACACACGUGAAUCAAUGUGCUAGGUGCAGAGGAGUGGACAGACAGCGGAGUUCAUGGCUAAUGCUCUUUGAAACCAGUCCCAAUGCGGGAUUGGAGAGUGGAGACUCUCACGACUUAUUAAGAUGACGAUCUAGUAUGCAAUUGGAGCCAUAGACUUGAUCGGGACCUAACAGUGACGUUAGGUGCAGCCUUGUACGACAGUUGACCUGUACUCAAGAGUAUGACGCACUGUUGACGAGCUUGACUGAAUUGAGUGUUCAUACUUGUUGUCAGUCUUACAGCGAGACAAUAUCAUACUGACUGCCAGCCGCAGUCGUCGGACCCUACAAGUACAGUGCAAAAUCCCGCGAGCCUAUGGCGGCCGGGAGCUAGCGAACGACAGGAG